rnacentral:rRNA from 1 species
UACGUAGGGUGCAAGCGUUGCCCGGAUUUAUUGGGCGUAAAGAGCUCGUAGGCGGUCUGUCGCGUCGGUCGUGAAAACUUGGGGCUUAACCCUGAGCUUGCGGUCGAUACGGGCAUGACUGGAGUUCGGCAGGGGAGACUGGAAUUCCUGGUGUAGCGGUGAAAUGCGCAGAUAUCAGGAGGAACACCGGUGGCGAAGGCGGGUCUCUGGGCCGAUACUGACGCUGAGGAGCGAAAGCGUGGGGAGCGAACAGG